UACGUAGGGUGCGAGCGUUGUCCGGAAUUAUUGGGCGUAAAGAGCUCGUAGGCGGUCUGUUGCGUCCGCUGUGAAAACUCGGGGCUUAACCCCGAGCCUGCAGUGGAUACGGGCAGACUAGAGGUAGGUAGGGGAGAAUGGAAUUCCCGGUGUAGUGGUGGAAUGCGUAGAUAUCGGGAGGAACACCAGUGGCGAAGGCGGCUUCCUGGACCGGUUCUGACACUGAGGAGCGAAAGCGUGGGGAGCGAUCCGG
rnacentral:rRNA from 1 species